GAGGGUAUAGCUCAAUGGUAGAGCACAUGCUUAGCAUACAUCAGGUCCUAGGUUCAAUCCUUUGUACUACUA
rnacentral:tRNA from 1 species